GAUGAACGCUGGCGGCGUGCCUAAUACAUGCAAGUCGAGCGAACAGACGAGGAGCUUGCUCCUCUGACGUUAGCGGCGGACGGGUGAGUAACACGUGGAUAACCUACCUAUAAGACUGGGAUAACUUCGGGAAACCGGAGCUAAUACCGGAUAAUAUAUUGAACCGCAUGGUUCAAUAGUGAAAGACGGUUUUGCUGUCACUUAUAGAUGGAUCCGCGCCGCAUUAGCUAGUUGGUAAGGUAACGGCUUACCAAGGCAACGAUGCGUAGCCGACCUGAGAGGGUGAUCGGCCACACUGGAACUGAGACACGGUCCAGACUCCUACGGGAGGCAGCAGUAGGGAAUCUUCCGCAAUGGGCGAAAGCCUGACGGAGCAACGGCGCGUGAGUGAUGAAGGUCUUCGGAUCGUAAAACUCUGUUAUGAGGGAAGAACAAAUGUGUAAGUAACUAUGCACGUCUUGACGGUACCUAAUCAGAAAGCCACGGCUAACUACGUG
rnacentral:rRNA from 1 species